rnacentral:rRNA from 1 species
GACGAACGCUGGCGGCGUGCCUAAUACAUGCAAGUAGAACGCUGAAGGAGGAGCUUGCUUCUCUGGAUGAGUUGCGAACGGGUGAGUAACGCGUAGGUAACCUGCCUGGUAGCGGGGGAUAACUAUUGGAAACGAUAGCUAAUACCGCAUAAUAGCAGUUGUUGCAUGACAACUGUUUGAAAGGUGCAAUUUCACCACUACCAGAUGGACCUGCGUCGUAUUAGCUAGUUGGUGGGGUAACGGCUCACCAAGGCGACGAUACAUAGCCGACCUGAGAGGGUGAUCGGCCACACUGAGACUGAGUCACGGCCCAGACUCCUACGAGAGGCAGCAGUAGGGAAUCUUCGGCAAUGGACGGAAGUCUGACCGAGCAACGCCGCGGGAGUGAAGAAGGUGUUCGGAUCGUAAAGAUCUGUUGUAAGAGAAGAACGAGUGUGAGAGUGGAAAGUUCACACUGUGACGGUAUCUUACCAGAAAGGGACGGCUAACUACGUG